CCUCUUCCAAACUGAAUGGCCAAAUGAACCCUUAGAUCCACUCAAAUCCGUUAAUCAAUCAUCUACCCCAUCUUGGCCUUUUUUCCAGACCCGUUUAACAAUCAUCUACCCCAUCUGCGCCUUUUUUUUUUGUUAAUGGAAAGAUUUUAUAUAAGGUUGCAACCUUAAAAUGUAGAAUCAAAGAUGCCCCUAAAAAAUUUAUGUUUUAAUGUUGAAAAACUCUCUAAUGGAUCAUCUCAACGUGGAGAUAUAUGAAUAUAAAAAAAAUAAUAACAAUAAUAAAAAUAAAAAAUUUGAGUCCUAGAAAUAAUACAUCGUGCAACACAUUAUCUAAACCGUCCAUUUUUA
rnacentral:lncRNA from 1 species